rnacentral:rRNA from 1 species
GACGAACGCUGGCGGCGUGCUUAACACAUGCAAGUCGAACGGAAAGGCCCUGCUUUUGUGGGGUGCUCGAGUGGCGAACGGGUGAGUAACACGUGAGUAACCUGCCCUUGACUUUGGGAUAACUUCAGGAAACUGGGGCUAAUACCGGAUAGGAGCUCCUGCUGCAUGGUGGGGGUUGGAAAGUUUCGGCGGUUGGGGAUGGACUCGCGGCUUAUCAGCUUGUUGGUGGGGUAGUGGCUUACCAAGGCUUUGACGGGUAGCCGGCCUGAGAGGGUGACCGGGCAAAAUGGGGAGUGAGAAAAGCCCAGAAUACAGGGGGGGGCAAGAGGGGGGAAAUUUGGAAAAGGGGGGGGAAGCUUGAGGAAGAAACGCGGGGGGGGGGAGGGGGGCUUGGGGGUGAAAAACAGCUUGCGCCGGGGAAGAAGGGGGAGGGAGGGGAAGGGAAAAAAAGGAACCGGAAAAAUACGGC